UACAGCUGUUGUCCAUCUGAUGCUGAGCAACGAACUGCAGUCUGGGAUGAUUUCUGCUGAACCAUAGAAGCUACUGUUCCUAGUUUAUUUAUAGCUGUUGUACACACAGCUAAAGAUGGUGGAACCGGUGUUGAAGCAAGAUUGGAUUUCAGCAGUGGUUGCGAGGCUUGUGUCUGCAAGACACCAGGUGCUGUUUAGCAUGAGUACUCGGCAACUUUCUUCCGUGUUGCAGGAAUAAGGAAGGCAUUAGAAAUGAGAUGGCACAUUACGAGGAUCUGGACUGAUUCUCAAAUAUCAACAAAGAUGCUAUCCGAACCCACUGAGGAAGCAUGGCCUUUGUCUUCAUUUUCCACCUUUUUUGAAUAUUGCAACUAUUAAACUUGCAAUUUGAAAUGAAAUACCCAUAUUGAUUAAUGUCCUUUAUUUUUUGAAAGGUUUACCUUA